rnacentral:rRNA from 1 species
AGAGUUUGAUCCUGGCUCAGAACGAACGCUGGCGGCAGGCUUAACACAUGCAAGUCGAACGCACCUUCGGGUGAGUGGCAGACGGGUGAGUAACGCGUGGGAACGUGCCCUUCAGUUCGGAAUAACCCAGGGAAACUUGGGCUAAUACCGGAUACGUGCGAGAGCAGAAAGAUUUAUCGCUGAAGGAUCGGCCCGCGUCUGAUUAGCUAGUUGGUGGGGUAAUGGCCCACCAAGGCGACGAUCAGUAGCUGGUCUGAGAGGAUGAUCAGCCACAUUGGGACUGAGACACGGCCCAAACUCCUACGGGAGGCAGCAGUGGGGAAUAUUGGACAAUGGGCGCAAGCCUGAUCCAGCCAUGCCGCGUGAGUGAUGAAGGCCUUAGGGUUGUAAAGCCCUUUCGGCGGGGACGAUAAUGACGGUACCCGCAGAAGAAGCCCCGGCUAACUUCGUGCCAGCAGCCGCGGUAAUACGAAGGGGGCUAGCGUUGUUCGGAAUCACUGGGCGUAAAGGGCGCGUAGGCGGCUUGAUAAGUCGGGGGUGAAAGCCUGUGGCUCAACCACAGAAUUGCCUUCGAUACUGUCUGGCUUGAGACCGGAAGAGGUAAGUGGAACUGCGAGUGUAGAGGUGAAAUUCGUAGAUAUUCGCAAGAACACCAGUGGCGAAGGCGGCUUACUGGUCCGGUUCUGNNGCUGAGGNNCGAAAGCGUGGGGAGCAAACAGGAUUAGAUACCCUAGUAGUCC